GAUCUGCAGGGAGAAGAGACUCACAUACAGAUGGGGAAAGAAUAGGGCAGGGAGUCAGGGAAGGGCAAAACCUGGGAUCCUGUCACCCAGGGGUUCCCUGAAGAGUGAGGGAGGCCUCAUCAGGAGGCGACUUUGCUCCCUAGAAGUAGCUGCUUCAGAUAGCCCUAGGUGCUGAGUGCUGGUCCCUCUAUGACUCAGGGCUGGAACUAAACUGAACAUCCAUCUCUGGUGCACUGGCUUCCCUGGCCCCAGACAUGGGGCUUAGCUUCAACUUCCACUCCACUUGAGGGGAGUGGUGGGAAGGGCCACUCAACCCACACACAGUACAAGCUUUUCUGUUUGUGAAAUGUCUGUUUAUUCUCUCCAUGUAAAGGCUGUGGAGCCUCGGGUAACUCGAAGGCAGCAUUUCCAUCCUUUCAUCUCUGCUGAGUGCUGACUGGUGUCAGCAAGCCCUCAGCAUCCUGAGUAGGGACAGUUUGUUUUCUCAUCUGACAGGAUAAGAAGCCACACUCUGAAUGAAAUGCUAAAUGGUCUGAGGUGGAGGAGGUGGAAAGUGGGAGAUGGGGAGCCCACAGAGGGACCCAUGUGGUUUGGUGGUGGUCAUGGCAAACUGAGGGAGGCAAAGCUUAUAACACUGAAACUGGAAGUGGCAAUCACAGGGAAAGACAGACACCCUAGACAGACAAAGACAGAUAUAGAGAUGGGGGGGGGCACCUACUGAGGCUUGCAGAAGGGUAAGAAAAGGAGAAACCUAGAGAUGGGGGUAGGGAGGGGGAAUAAAGAGUGAGAUGAGGCUGUUUACAGACACACCCAGACUAAGAUACAUAACUCAAGAAAGUCAGGGAGACUUAACAUGUAGGAAAUGAUAGGAUAUUGGAGAGAAAGAACACAUGAAACAAAGAACACAGGAAAAUGGGGAUGGGGACAGAGAGAGAGAGAGAGAGAGAGACAGACAGACAGGCAGACAGACAGACAGACAUGGGGAGAACAGAAAAAUGGGCCUAGCAGGACUGAAGGUCUGCAGAGAUGCAGAGAAGUAGACCUAGGCCCAGGGAACAGCCUGUUGGUCUGGUGGCUUUUUCCUUCUCAAGUAGUCAGUCUCAUGCUUUCCCCAGAGGUUGGCUCAUCCUGACACUGUAUUCCCUGUAGCUCCCAAGCCUGGGUCCAGCACUUCCAGGCAUCUUCCAAAGUGCAGGGGAAGGGAGGGUGAGCUUUUCCUCAACAGGUCCUGGAAGCCUGGCUAGAGUACACUCCCUGGCUGAGUUAGAGGGCGCCAAGCUCUCAUGGCCUUAGUACCUGGGGCAUCAUCUCCUGACCUAGUGCCUGGCAAUGAGUGCCCGGGUACCAGACGUUCACAAGGAUUCUCUGUGGAUUCAGUCUCAGAAAAUGCAGUCAGAAGGCAGUUUCUCAGAGGCUAUGGAGGAUACAUGUGUGGGGCACCCCAGGGAGUGACUAUGUCCUCCUGUUCUGAGCUCUCCCAGAUUCUGUCUGUGAGCUGCUGCUCAGGUUGGGUGCCAAGUGUGGGCACAGGGCUGAGCGGGGUUGCUAUCGGCAGAUGCCAGCAAAGAACCCCCACUUCUGAGCAGCAGGUGGCCACUUGUGUCUAUUCUCCCAACCUUGUCUCCUACUUCCAGAAGGGAGAAUGCAAUCAGGUGGCUCUUCUGGCACAGGAGUGGCUGGCCUGUGCAUCUUUUUAUUUGGAGUUACAGGGAACAUUGUGGUGCUAUACUGUGGAACUUAAGCCUCCUUCCACCCCCAGGGUCAUGGGUUAACGACUUGUUCCUCAGACACAUGCUAUUGAGGAGGAACUGGGAAUUUUGAGGUGGGUGGGGGCAGUGGGAAGUCUAACAGAGGCCUUGUGGGGCUUGUGAGAUCCCAGUCUCCUCUUUAUUCCUUGUUCCCUGGCCCUUGGGGAGGUGCUUCCAUGAGCACAAAGUCCUGCUAUGAGGUGCCCUCUUAAAACAAUGGGACCUCCUGAUUGUGAAGUGGAUCAUCUCAAAUUGUGGACUGAAAUAAACCUUUUUUGUUUGUUUGUUUGUUUGUCUCAGAUUUUUGCUACAUUGAUAGGAAACUGAGCAAUACAGACUCCCAGCAACUCUCCCAGCAAGUCCUACAGAAUCUUCCCCGUGGCUCCCACAGCUUCUCAGGAAAGGCUGACAAUCUCACUGUCCUGUGCAGGGCAGGCUGGCCAAGCUGAGCAUCCUCUCUGGUAAAGGAGCUUGUCCAGAGGAGUUUGCUAAUUGCCAUUGGGACCCCUGUGCAUUGCUAGCCUCACACUGUAAACUCCAUUCCUGGUGGGUGAUAGGUAAUCUCAGUUCAACUCUUGCUUGAUAUGAUGGUGUCAGUUCAAAAUUCCCACUACAGAGCUCAGGGAGAAAUUUCCAAAGGCUCAACCUUUUCUUGGUGCUCUUUAUGGAGUGAGAUUUCUUGGGAAGCAAGAAGGAGGAACACAUACCUACUGGGGGACCCUUCGAGGGUCUUCAUUUGCUGGAUGCCCUGUAUACCCUGUUAUCAGCGUCUCCUUCCCUUGUAACACCCUUGGUCCUUAGGGCCUAAGGAGAAUAGACCCAGAGGGGUCCACUGCAGUCAGUUUCAUUUGCAUCUCUAUCCCCAGGCUCUGGGAUGCCACAUCUCAGGAUAUGAGUUUCUAGGAGUCUGCCAAGUUCCAGAGGUAUAAAUAGUUUAUGUCAUACCCAACUAUUAAACAUGAUUUUAAUCCCACUUGAGAUGUCGGAUGCAUAACUUGCAGGAGGGUGGAACUGAGAUCACAUUGAACAGAUGUUACAGCUGAGCGUCUGUUAGUGUUUCCAUCAGCAACCUGUGUGUGUGUGUGUGCGCGCACAUGUGCAUUUUCAGGAGAAGUGUGGAGGGUGCAGAGAGAAACUUCAUGACUCAGUGAUUUUAUAGCACAUCCAUUUGAAACUUGGCAGCUGGACACAGAGUCCAGAUGUGGUGAGGCUUUGUGUGUGUGUGUGUGUGUGUGUGUGUGUGUGUGUGUGUGUGUGUGUCAGGGGAGGGGGAUUGCGCUUUCUCUCCCAUUACUCAAUCUGGGGGCUUUGUCUUCCGUUGGGUAACAUAUAAAGACCAAGGGAAACAAACAACAAAUGCGCUUUUGCUGAGUUUGGAGACUUUGUGGUUGACUGAGAAAAUGAGCAGGUUUGCAAAGGCGGCUCUGAUCCAGCCUGUGGUAUCCACUGCAAACAGCUGAAUGCUUACUGAAUGAGCAAGUGAAUUUGAGAAGAAAGGAAGAGGAGGAGGAAGAGGUGGAGGAGGAGGAGGAAGAGGAAGAAGAGGAGGAGGAGGAGGAAGGCAUGGAGAAGGGUUGGACCUUACGUGUUAGGUAUACAUAAACACACCUCCCAGCUAGGGGAGAUGGAGUGUUGGAUCAAAUGGAUACAGAUGUGAUGACAUCUGGGGAAGGGUCACCACACACUCACCACCGUGGUUUCAACCAUAAUAUAUACUUUAAUCAAAAUAUGUCAUGCAUGGUGCAAAGAAUAGACAUGAAUGAUGUCAUUUAAUUCUAGCUGUGACCUUAAGAGGUACACAUGAUCGCCUUGAGGAAACUAAGGCUCAAAUCAAUUUACUAAUGAGGCUAAUCAGUAAAAGGCAAAACCAGAAUUCAAACUAGAGAGAAUGUUGGACCACAACCACUAUUCUGUACUGCCUUGGAAAGAUUCCAACUGGGAAAUCUGAAACCUGGGUCUAAGCCUCAUGCUAGCUUCAUACCCAGGUCCUUUCAGGUAUAGCCCUGUUAACCAUGUAGCCAGUCAACCAGUCCUUUGUGUGGAGUGCAUCUGGAGGGGGUAUGCAUUUGGAUGUAUGUGGGAUACUCUCAUGAUAGCAUUCUUGUCCCUAGGUUCUCUUGGGGCAACAGAUAUCAGUCUUGGGCAGAGAUGUUCUUUCUCCUUCAUCUUUCUCUGUCAAGGUCCUGGCUUCCAUCUCGGGGGAACCAACUAUGUUUAUGUGGGACUCUGUAGCUGUCAUAGCCUCCUGCCUAAGAAGUGCCACAGCCACAAAUGGCAGCCAGGAAGCAAGGGACUUAGACACUUAUUGUCUUCCACCCCCAUUCCCCCCAGAUCUGGCUUGUGUUUGAGAGAGAGCUUUGAUUGCUCCUAGAAUAGGAAGAGAUCUUGGAUAGCAUCAGCAAAUCAGACCAGAGAUUCGAAUUAUCAGAGUGAAAGGACAAGUCUGGAGCCACCCAGUUCAUGGCAAUGCAUCUAUCUGUUCGGAAUGUUGAACCUCAUACCGAACUAGCAUCUUACCUACUUUCCAAAGCUGGGCUUUGCUCUCAUCACAUCUGCUUGCUGGAUGGUGCUAAGACCCAGGGUGGGAUCCUGGCAGGGAUGGAGGAACAUGGCCGAGGUGCUUCUCUCCAGUCUCUUUUUGUUUUUGUUUUUGAUACAGGGUUUCUCUCUGUAGACAUGGCUGUCCUAGAAACUCAUUCUAUAGACCAGGCUGGCCUUAGACUCACAGAGAUCCUCCUGCCUCUGCCUCCUGAGUGCUGGGAUUAAAGGUGUGUGCCACCAUGGUCUGGCUCUCCAGUCUCUUUAUCUCCCCAGCCCUAGGCUUGGUAAGGAUUCUGCUGUUCUCACUCUCACUGAGGAUCAAGCUUGGCAUGGGAGAAGGGGUUUGUUAACAACAAAUGGCAAUACAGAGAGAGGAGAGGAGAGGAGAGUGGAGGAGAGGAGAGGAGAGGAGAGUUGUUUGCCUGGGUGUUUAAGCCUCACCCAGUACUUAACAAACAUCUCUUCUUCCUUCUGCAUUUUAAAGGGUGUCAGUUAGGAUUUGCUCAGAGAAAACUUCUGUCCUCUGGCUGUCAAAACUGGCUCUGAGAACCCCAAGACACAGUUCCCGUGCACUCUUUAGCCCCGAAGAGCUGUGUAUACAACACAGAACCCAGAAGCACUAACUGAGCCAGGGCUGUUAGAAAGUAUUUAAAUUCAUCAGCAUUAUGGAACUGGAGAGAUGGCUUAGUAGUUAAAAGCACUUGCAGCGUAAACAUGAGGAUGAGAUUUUGAAUACUGGCCCCCACUUAACAGGCUGGCACCUGGUGUACAACUAUAACUCCAGCUUCAAGGAGAACAUAGGCAGGAGAACUGCUGGGGUUUUGCAGGAUAUUUGAUCACACUGUGAACCCUGAGAUUGUGUCAUUUACAGAAAAAAAAAAAACUGUUCCUAGUUGUAGUAUGGCUCAACAUUUAGCACACACCUUUAACCCCUCUGGCUGGAAUACACAUGUGCCCUUAUAUACACCUUUAAUCCCAAACGAUGAAGAUAAAGUUAGUUUGUAGAAAGAAGUACCCAUGUUUGAACAGAAUGUCUAAUUGAGUGGCAGACAAAGUGAUGAAUCAGAGAAAGAUUUGACAGAAUAGGAGGUGCCUAACCCUCAGGAGAAGAAAGAGCAGCUACUUGAAGAGAGAGCAUCAGAGAGGAAGGAGGCAGUUUUACUGGGAUUAGUUGUACAGAGACAGGCUGCAGAGGGAGAACAAGCUAGCCGUGGAUGAAGACAGAACAAGCCCGAGAAUGAGAAUGAGCUAGCAGAUUAGAACAGAUUGCUUGAGUUAGUUUCAGAACAAGCAGAAUGAUUCAGAAGAAUUUGAAAGUAAAGUGUAAUUGAAUCAGUCAGUUUGGAGAGGAGUUUGAUCCAGAACAACUGAGUUGAAUCAGCCAGUCAAAAGAACUAGAAAGGGUGAGCUUAUUCAGCAGGAAGUCUCAGAGGCUGAAAACAUUCUAGGCCUAGAUAAGAUUGUACAGAGACUAGAAGCUUCCAGAACUAGGCCUAGGAUAGCAGACUGAGGAAGUAAGCCUUGGAGACAAUAAUCACCCAGGCAAAUAAAAGUUACAUUUACAGUUGAACUUAAUGGCCUUUAGCCUAGCAGAGAAAACAUAUGACCCAGGUUCAGUGAGAGAGGUUGCCUCUAAAGAGUAGGCAGAGUUGAUCGAGGAGGACAUCCAACAACUUCUUCUGGCCUCUGUGCACAUGCACAGGUUGUAUGAAUCUGCAAUGAAUCUGCAUACACACACACACACACACACACACACACACACACACACAACCACAUGGGCUGGUCCCAACCCUAGGCCUGGCCAGGCCAGAGAGGGUCAGUUGGUACUCACGCUGGAUGUCUAUGGUGACAGAGGUCUCUUUUCCUCCGGGGAUGGCUUUGUUGGUGGCUCGGCACACAAUACUCUGUCCAUUUUCCACGUCUCCUGGGGAGAUGAAGAGGGUGCUGACAAUGCUUUCUCGUUUGCCGUCUCGAAGCAGGGUCUGGAGAGAGAUGGUGAAAGAAGAGAAGCCUGUGUUACUGAGUGGAGAUAGCCUGAGAGUGAAAGACAGACCACAGCUCAGAGAAGAGAGAGCCGUGGAUGGCUCAGUAGGGUUGGCUCACGGCCCCAGGCCUCCAGUCUCCAUGUAGAACUGGACAGUUCCCUUGUAGCCCUUGCCUGGCUGUAUGCUGGAUGGUGGAAGGGCAAAGGAACUAGAGAGAUUGCUACCGUUGUGGAAAUAGCCUGGACUUGCAAGCCAAAAGCUCAGCAGAAACCAGUAUUUGCUUAAUGGAAGCCAGAUCUUGGGUAGGUCCUCUUUAAGAUUUAAGCAGCAUCUGUUUGUUCUGCUCCUGGUGCUGGUGACUCUCAGGAAUUGCAGCAAGGAGGGGAAGGGUUGCAGCAAACAGAAGGGAUGAAUCUGUGGAAGGGUGACACAUUUAAGGCCACCCAGUUAAUGGCAGGCACAGGUAGGGUUUUCGUCGUCUGUGUGUACCCACCUUUGAUUGUUUGCCUAGGAAGCCUUUGUACCAUCCCAAAUCAUUGCACCUCGUGACCUCAUUAAAGCUCCCACCACACCACAGCAUGGGUGGAUGCCACUGCUUUCCUUCUGUCACAGGCAAGGCUCAUCAAGACAGUGACACUUUCCCAGACUCACGCUCCAGAAUUGCUGCAAGGAAGAAGCAUUUCGCAAGUGACCGCUGAGCUCAGCGUGAACAUGGUGGGCAGAGCUGGGACUCACCCUUAAGAUUCUCAUUUUGUCUUCUUCAUCGACGAACGGCAAAGAACAGGAAAGGUCUUAUCUGCCAUGGUCCUGGUGGCAUUGCUGUGCCUAGCCCUUGAUCCUUCUGUUCUCCCCAUGCCUACUUGGUGUCCUGAACUUUGGAUCCUUUGGCUGCCAUACAACUCCUCUCUUUGGGCUGAUAACGAGACCCCAGGAACUCAAGGCUUAUGCCCGGAGGCAUCCAGAGGCUACAUCUUCACUGUCUUUCCAGAGUCUUCCAGUUGGACCAAGUAACUUCUGGCUUUAUACUGCAGUAUUCCAGGCUCCCUCCCAUCUCGAGAUCUGGCUUGCCUUAGGGAAGUAUCUGUGCCAGCCGCCUCUCCGCUACAAGGUGAAGGAACUGAGUUCAAGAGGUAAACUGCUUAGGUAGAAUCACACAGCUGGAGGUGAUGUCAUCAGAACUCAGACUGCGGCUUGAGUCUCUGAACCACGCAUAACGCCAGCUGCUUCUUUCCUCACUUACAUGGACGUGCCACCUAUUGGCCAACACGCAGAAUUGCAGGAUAGGAUAUCAAGAUAAGAGUGGACCUGGUUUUCAGGGUGUGAAAGCAACUUGCAUCCAGGGCAAACUGCGUUUUGAGUUGUCUUUUCCUGGGCUGGCGGAUGUGGUUCCACACUCUCAAGAGGCUGGGCAGUGAGCCAUAGUUUCCAAGCAGCCCAUGUUAGUGAAGCUGUACAGCAUGAACGAGGAGAAACUACUUCCCAGUUGAAUGCAUACUUCUCAUCCAUUCUCUACUCCUAGAUGUUCCCAGAUGGCAGAAGACGGAGAAGGAGGCAUUGUUGAAAAUGCUUGGAAUAUCCAUUUCUGGGGACAAGGAUCAGUCCUGGAUGGUCAACAUGAAAAUCAGCAGAGCUGAAUGGUAUGGGACCCUGGGAGGCGAGGAGAAGGAGCGAGCCAAGAUAACACUGCAGUGCCCCGAAGAGAAGAGAUUUGCAGAAAAGCACUGUGUCCUUGUACUGUGUGGUGGAGCCAGGAAUUCUAAGUUGGCACCAAAGGUCGUUUGGCUUUGCCUCUGGAGACAUCUAUCACGAGUGGGCUAUCCCUCUCCCAGUACUCCUGAUCUCUGCAUAAAUGGGAUUGAAUUGGAGUAUCCAUUUGGAACAGCUCCUCAGGGUCUCCAGGGCAGCCACUCAGGCUAGGACACACAUAGUCUGGAAAACAAUGCCCAUGAAGCUGAGGAAGAGAAAGGAUUCUUUGGUAAGAGCUGCUUGCUUUUCCUGCUGACAGUCCACCUUCUGCUUCUCAACCCUCAGUACCAGUAGCCCCUGUUCCUCUGGGAGGAGAAGGCAGUUGUCUGACAAAGCCAUCUCACAGCUGCCUGGGCCCUGGCAGCCUUGGGUUUUCCUGGUGAGAAGAUGCAAGGCUCUUAGUGUCCUUUACUGAGGAGGCAGGCCCCCAUGGUGUAGGCAGGGUGCCCUUAGCUGCUGUGGUACUGCUUUCACACAGCUGUGGGGACAGUGGUUAAGGUCUGUGGGCUGUCGGCCCGGCUGGAGAGCUCUUGAAAUCCACUUCAUCGACCUUCUCUUUUCUUUCCAAAGCUCUUAGCCCACUGGAGUGGCGGGGAGGGCCUGAAAGGGAGUUCUGGCUGAGCACCUUGGCAAGGUUGAGUCUGCCCGGCAGAAAUCCAGGCAAGAACAAGCCGGAGCUACUGCUGGGUGGGGGAGGCCAGGUGACUCUGAUCUUGGCCUCCUCUUUUCUUAUUCUGGAUCCUAGCCUUUGAUUUAAAUGAAAUAUUUAUACAACAUGUAAGGUUUGUCUUAUACAACCCUUAGAAGGUGACUCAGAAUUUGAAGGCUUUGCUGGUCAGUGGCAAAGCCAAGGCUAAUGUGAGAUGUCUUUCCAAGGGGACCCAGUUGGCCAUCACUCUCAUGAGGCCUCCCAUCCAGGCUACAUUGCUCACUUCCAACAUGGAGAACAACAAGACUGAUGAAUUCUGAAGCACAUGGGGCCCAGGGACUUCCCCAACCUCUUAAGCUCUGCUGGCAGAGACAUCGUCUGACUGAAGGCAUAGCUGGCUUCCUGCAGGAGCAGAUGUGUGCCUACAGUUGCCAUGCAGUUGUCAGCCUCCAGGGUGGGGAAGAGUCUCCAUUCAAAGCUGAAGAUGCCUGACCCAUGGAGCUACCUGCAACAAAGCUCUCCUCCCAGAGGCUGACACCAAACUCAAGCACCUGUCCUGUUGGCACCAUUACUCUGACAUUCAAGGCUUAUGUCCAUGAAGACCUAGCAUAAUGCCCUGCUCACUGCCGUAUUCCAUCCCUAACACAGAGUCUGGCACACACUAGAUGCUCAGUAAAUCAAUACAUGAAACAGUGAAAGAAACAUAGAAGAUACUCAUCUGCAGGUACACCAGCUCUCAGCCAUAUUUUACAGAGGUGGAGCUUGAGGCCCAAAGAGAUCCAGAAGUGACUAUGGUCUCAUAGCCAGUUAGCAGCCGGGAGAAUGCCAUUUUUUGACUUUUCUUUCUAACGGGGGGGAUAGUGAUGUGGGGAUGGUGGCUUGAGGGCCAAGCAGCCCUCUGUGACAUUAUUUCCAUGGUUUUAGCAGCAAUGAGGUGACAAUGAGCAGAUGUAGUUGGAAGUGGAAACAGGCUCUGUGUUGGCCAGCAUGUGGGAAUGGGCAGGGUUGUCUCCAGUGCUUCAUGUCUUCUCGAGAGCAUGCAAUCUUCCCAGACCACCUGCAUGCCUGCACCCAGGGAUCUGCUUCCCAGAAGUUCUGAGAGCCAUGGCAGUUUCACACGAGUAAGGUGCUUCUGUGCUCACCUUGGACCACACACCUGUACAGCAGCAUCAGCAGAACCGAUUCCUCCUGCCUAGUGACACUGUGGCUAUUGUUUUGUCCCUGUUCCUGACAUCUCAGCACAAAGCCGCACUCACGGGUUUGCAGUGUGAACACACCCACCAGGCUGGUAGCAUCUGUUGUUUCAUGCAAAGAAUCCUGAUGGUCACCAAGCUAUAUGUCCUUUCCUAGGUUUAGUGUGUGCUUCUUGUGCUUAUAAAAAAAUACAAGUUCAUUGUAAGUGAGACACAGACACAGACACAGACACACAGACACACACACACACACACAGAGACAGACAGACAGACAGACAGACAGACAGACAGACAGAAGAGAGAGAGGUGUCAUGGAUGAUACCACUGAGACUUGAGUGUAAGAUGUCUGGAUACCAAUGAGUUUGCUGACCACAUACUGAAAAAGCACAUGUCGGAUAGAGGGGAAAAGACAGAACUGUCGUCUCUGGUCCUCUAGGCUACUUUGAUGGCCUUUGGGAAUGAGAGGCAGGCUUAAGGGACUCAUUAGCAAUGGCAGAGAAACAGAAUGAAGCAUCACCUGGGUCCUCUCCUUCCUCACAGCCAUGUGAGGAAAGCCGGUAUGCAUUCUCACUUUGGGUAUGGCAGCUGUGUGGUACAGGAGGAGGAGAGGUCCCUCUAAGCCCACAUUGUCCCAGAUCCAGCCCUGUUGGAGCCCGAAUCUUGGUGGCCAGGGCUUCUUCUGCUAGGAGUGGCAUGGCUGGUCCUGGAUCCUGAGCCUGUCUGUCAUUAUGGCUCCAUAGCUUGGGGACACUAAAGGGCAGAGCCAUGAGCCUCUUGUAAGUUGACAAGGCUGAGUACAUGUCAGUGCCAGGGAGUCGUCAGGACCCUCUGAAUUAAGAGGCCAAGUUUAGUUUUUAAUUAAGCCCUCGUGGUCUUUUCCAAAGGUCACUGAUGACACCAUCUUCUUCAAGGCCAAUAUGAAAAGACAUUCAAAGUCAAGGUUCUGAGACAGGAGCCGUGUAACUGGAAAAUGUCACAAGAAGGAAUUUGGAGAUGGGGAAGGGAGGCUGGUGAGAAGGACAGCUCUGUCACACUAUCCUGCCACUAGCUCAUAUGGAGCAACAAGCUAGUUUGGUCUCAAAGGGCAAGCCUCUUCCUACUACCCUCUAUGCUAUCCCCUUUAGUUCCAUGUCUCUGGCCCAGAACACAGUCUGUUUCAGUGGGAUGCCAUGGGGAAAUAACACAAACCUGCACAACCACCCUGGUUCUUCUGCACUCUUGUCUAUAGAGCCUGGCCAACGUGACCAUGUGGAUAUGCAGUUCUGGCUAUAGUGGGCAGCACUGCCUUUGCUUUAUCAAAAUGUCCCAUCUUCUCUGGACAGUGAUAUCACAUUGCAGAAGUCCUGCUCUGGCCUUGGGGCAAUGCGAGACUCAGGAGAACUGGAGUAGAGUGUAUUGCAUCCUAGGGACGGGUCACCAGGCCUGCCCAACAGCUCAAGGACUUCAGACCUUGGAGGAGGAUAAUUCAGUGUACUCAGACGCAUGCUAAGGCUGUGGGAUUUGGGCCAUAUGCUGCCCCUGGUAGCCACAGACAGUAUCAGAAUGGAGAGGAUUUUGGAUUUAGAUUUAGGAAGCUGUAGUCUUGGACUGAAGUUAGCUCACCUGUAUUAUCCACAGGCUAUCUAGCACCCGAGUAUUUACACUAUUGUGGCAAUACAGCUCAGUUAUCAAAAUAUGAAUUUCCUAGCUUCAUUGAAAAGGCAAGUGUGGGGAAUGGGAUACAAUAAUAACAAAUGACCAGGGAGAAUAAUAAAGUAGGGAAAGUAGAGUGGGCUUUUUAAAAGACAACUAGCUCACUUGAGAAGUGUACCCCAUCUCUGCUUUCUCCCCUUUUUAAUUUCAGCCUGAAAAGUGGAGCCAGUAGCUGGAGCCUCCACAAUUAUUUUUGACUGUGAGGUUGUAACAAGAGAGCGGAAGCUUGUGCUAAUGAUGGGUGCCCCGUGUACCCCUAGACUUCUUGUCAUGUGAGAGAAAACGUGGUCCCUCCCUCGCUUAGGCUACUGCCCAUUACUUUGGAUCUCUAUUGUAAAUCAGUGAAUGUCAAACUGACACAGAUUGACGACCACACUUCCAUUUACCCCUGAGGUGCUCUUAAUGUCUCUGCAUUUCAGUGUCUUUAGUAUAGCCAGAGUAAUAUUCCGGUUUUGCCCGGCGAGCCCACUCCUAGGCUUCCCAGAAUGUUCUCAGCCCUGUCACGGCUUUUGUGUGUGAGAAGUGGCUGCUUCCCUCUCAUUGUCUGGCCAGAUCAUUGUGCUUGAACUAAGAAUGUGCCUGCCUUCCAACUUCAAUGGCUUGCUCACGGCUGUUAUGAACUCCCCUCGUGGGAUCCCAUUUUCUAGAGACACAAUAGCUUUUCCUGGCUCGCCCAGGCUUCACCCCUCCUCACGGGCACAGAGCGUCUGAGUCCGUGGUUUCAAGCAGCUGAAAAAGAGGCUUCAAAGAACCCCACAUUGGCCUCUGUCAGGUUCUGACUCACAAAGACGUUUCUGGAGUCCUCAAAAGCCUUAUUAAUCUGCUAAGACAUCCAGGGAGCUGCGCUGGGCCCCUAUUUGUGGGGCUUUCCAGCAUCUUCCAUUGUUUCCGCUGCAUUGUCCGGGCUGGGUGUCUUGGCCUCUGGUGCGCCAGCGCAGAGAGGCAGGCAAGCCUUGAGCAGCUCCUGCAAUUCCUGCCCCCACCUCUUUACUUCUUCCUUUCCUGUAACACUUCUCAUGAAAAGGUCCCCAUCCUCCUUACACUGUUUAUUCUUCUCACCUCCUUGCAUGGUCUCUCUGUCACCUCUUUCCUCUCCUGGCAUUUACCUGGGUCCAGGUCAGAUACACAGAUGCCUGGGCAGAGAACCAGGCUUUUCUUUUGAGUGAAAACUUUUACCUGGGGCUGUUGUGAGCCUCUGCAGUCACCUGCUACUGCAUCAGCUUGAUGUCUGCGGAAGCUGGAUUCAUGUGCCCACACCCCAGUGCUCUCUGAGGCUGAGCCUUCUUGGGGCUUGAGGGUUCCAGAAAGAGCCCCAAGACCAGGACCUCCGGCUAGUUUCUAUCUUAAUCUAAAAUCUGCAUGUGACAGGCUAACCAAGGUUCUGUGACAACAGCUUUCCCAGAUACCUCGACUCCAUGCACAAAAACCUGCUUUCCAUGGCUGUAAGUACAUACGAGAUAAGCAGGUUUCAAAGAUAAGAGGUGACUUGGGACAAUGGUCUUAGUGGUGUCAUUCUGUGAUCAUUUAUGUAGCUGUGAUCAUGAGUAGCUGGACCCAUAGCAGUGCUUCAUGGAGGAUGCUCACGGCUCUUCUUAGGGUCAAGAAAUGAGAGAGAAAGAGGAAGAGAGGAGGAUCCCAUAGACCCUCUCAGUGAAUGUCCCCAGUGACCAGGAGGCUGACAGCUAAGCUAUACCUGUUUUCUUCCUUCCUUCCUUCCUUCCUUCCUUCCUUCCUUCCUUCCUUCCUUCCUUCCUUCCUUCCUCCCUCCCUCCCUGCCUCCCUCUUUCUCUUUCUUUCUUUCUUUCUUUCUUUCUUUCUUUCUUUCUUUCUUUCUUUCUUUCUUUCUUUCUUUCUUUCUUCCUUCCUUCCUUCCUUCCUUCCUUCCUUUCUUUCUUUCUUUCUUUCUUUCUUUCUUUCUUUCUUUCUUUCUUUCUUUCUUUCUUAACUGAGGAUCGAAUCCAGGGUGCUCUACCACUGAGCUAAAUCCAGGACUCCAUAGGCUAUACCUCUUAAAGGUUCCAUUACCAUCUCCUGGUAGCCAGGUCAUAAGGUCUCUGGCGACAUUCAAGGUCCAACUAGUUUCUACUUUCUCAUGAGAGAUAGUCCAGCCUGGUAACGUGCUUCCCUCUAACAGGACAGAGCAAGAAUGACAGACAUUGCUUCCAACCUGUCUUGGAAUCCUCCCUUGGUCUUUCCUCAGCUGCCCGCAUUGGCAAGGAGAAGCCAGAAGAGACAUCUGUAGCAGGAACUGAGGGUGGACGGACAUUGGAUGAUAUGCAGUAAGCUAUGGUGACAUCUUGGCCACCAGCAUCCGUAGAGCAAAAUCCAGCCCUUAGCUACAUGAAGAGGAAUGGACAACACCCUGCUCCAGGCACGCCCUAGCCAGGGCUUCUACAGCAGCCUAAGGAGGUGGAGUGGGAACCCACUAAGCCACAUCUAGAUUCCUGACCCACAUCAAUCUGGAGAUAACGAAUGUGAAUUGUCAGAAGCUGAUGAUUUAACCCCGCAAUAAAUGGACUCCGGGUUGGGGUGGGGGCUUUAUUAGCAUAGGAGAAAUGUGCUUCAGUGCCCCCCCCCCCCCGCCGCCGUAACUGGACUCUGGUUUUUAAAACUCUCAUGCUACCAGCCAGAGGAUGUAGAAUACCUCCCUGUCAUCCACCCAGAUUCCUAUGUUGAAGACUUAGUCUCCAGAGUAGCAUUGUUCGGAGGUGUCUGGAUUGUGAAGGUUCUGAUUCCAGCAGUGAAUUAAUCCAUGGAUGGAUCAUAGUCAAAUGGUCUAUAGGCAGGCAGUGGGGAGGCAUGCCGUAAGUAGAGGGGUCACAUGGAGGGUCCCUGACUAGGGCCAUCAUGCCUUUGCUAGGUACUCUCUACCCAGCUGUAUUGCUGUCUGCUUUUGACCUCGGCAAAAGUGAACAGCUGCGCUCUACAUAGGAUCCCAACAUCAUGUUCCUUCCCUCAGCACAGGCUCUGAGAGAUGGGGCAAGAGACCAUGAACAGAAAUCUCCAAAUCUAGGAGCCAGGAAAUAAAAUCCCUUGCUCCUUUAAGCUGUUUUCUGCGGGGUUUUGUUAGCGUGGGGGAGCUGGCUGACAGUGGAACAGGUGCGCAUGCCUGCCCCUGCACAUGCGCACGGACUCUCAAGUCUGAAUCCUCUCACUACUCCAAAGACUCACAGUAAGAGAUAAAUGUUAUCAGGACCGAAGAAGGACUCCGUUGAUGCAGUCAGGUUUCUGUUAGGAAUCCAAAUACAAGGGGGAUUUUUGCCAGGAUCCAAGGUGCCAAGCAAGGGGCGUGGCUGGUGAGGCCUUGUUUCUGGCAGUGCUCUCUCAGGCUUUCUUCUCAUGCCUGGUUCAUGAGAUCUGUUUCUAUACUGGAAUGGCCACUUCUUACCCGCUCUCCCUUCUAUAGAUCCCCUUCCUCACAGAGCUCAGCCACCACAAGGAAAUCACCCGGGAGUUCUGACUCAGCUGGAGCAAAAUCUUAAACUCUUGAUCCUUCCUCCCUGCAUCAUCCCUCUCCCGUGCCCCAGUGCUCCCGGAAGCUAAAGCAGGGAGCAAGCUCUACAAUUGAAGAAUCAAUAAAGCAGUGCAUUUAUGAACAGUCUCCAUGGAAAGGAGGGAUUUGAUGUCCCUUCAUGCUCUUGUUGACAAUAAUAACUGAUUGCCACACUGAUGUGAGGCAGUAUAAUUUUAAGAUCCUCCGAACAAGGACCAGCAAAGGACCAGCACAGAAACAGAACAGCCGCCGAAGCCCUUGCUUCUGUGUGGAGCCUGGGGCUACUGAGGGCCGGGAGGCACUGGCACACGGCUCCGGAGCACCUGCAAUUUCAUUUUGUUUCUUUCCAAGCACUGGGGAAGAAAAGCAAUUUGUUUGCUCUCAUACUCUGAAGAUGAACUUCCCGUGCUCAAUCAAACGUUAUUAUCCCAAUGUAAGUCAAUUUACCUUUGAAUUUGAAGGCUAUUUUCUUCCUAAAUGGCUAAUUAUGGGAGAUAGAUGGCUGUAAACAGAAGCCAGCUUUUCCCUCACUGCUCAGCUGGUUUCUCCCUGGGUGCUUGGGAGAAGCCAAAGAGGAGGCCCUGAUGCCUGCAACUGGUUUAGGCCUCACCAGUCCAUGCUUCCGGAUUGCUGCAUCUCCAUCCAUGUUCCUAGACACUCCUGUUGGUGGGUUUUCGUGCCACCCAUUGCUCCUCGCAAUGGAGCAUCUUGCAGAAUUACACUCUCUGUCUUAAAGGUGCUAGAAGGGGCUCCCUCAGCUACAGAGCUGCUCUGGGAUGCCCCUUCCUCCCACGAGGGUAGUGUGGCAGGGUAGAGGAAGGGAAUGGGUGCAUAGGAGGGAAUGAGAGUGAGCCGCACAAGUUUCAGGAGACAAGAGAUCUGAGAUGAAAUCCGGUCACCCAAGGCAUCUGCUUUGAUUCUCCUAGCAAAGCCAGAGACACUAGGCCCCGCAGGACUGCGGCCCUUGCUGUAGCAUGAUCAACAGGGCACUGGAGCUGAAUUGAACGGCGGAGCUUGUUUACUGACAAGAGGACCCAUACAAGGAGGUUAGCCCCGCAGCACUGCUGUUUGCCUUUUGAUCAAUUUUAGGACAAGGGAGGAAGGGGAUGCAUGAUGUGCACAGGGCUCCCCGAGCUUCUGAGGACAGGUGGUGUUGCCUGUAGUGUUAGGGUGUGCAGGAUCCCAGCUCCCCCUUCCUCUCCUGGCCUCCUGUACUCUGCAUGAGGCCAGAGAAGCCCUAGGCAGGUGCCUCCUGCUUGUCCGUGCCUGCCUGUGCUUACCACCUCACUUGAUCCUUACUGCCAUCUUCCCAAGACAGAGGAGGGAAAGGCCCAGAAAGGUCAAGUGUUGUGUCUGAAGUCACACAGCUAUAAGGUGACCAAGGUGAGCCUUUCGUCUGAGUCCUUAAACUUCAAACCCUCUGAUUUUUUUUUGUCAUUUGACCCUAGUUCCACCACAGAAAGGAUAGGUGUGGUUCUGUGCUUAGCAUGGGCGACUAGUCAUCUCUUGAGACCUUUGUCACUCAGCUCACGGUCCUCAUUUUGACAUCAAAGGCAUGACUUGGACCUGCCCAUGUGCCCCAGCUUACUGUGCUGUGUGGGAAAGCCUGUGGGGCUGGAAGCCAGGCAAGAAAUCGGGGGAGACAUUUCAGAACAACCUUGGACAAGUUUAAAGCCAUUGUCAAGGUCAGACUGACAGCACAAAGUGAGAGAGCAGCUCCCUCUCUCCCUUGAACUCAUGGGUGGGUUCCUGAUAAACACAUAGAUAGCUGGAUGAGACGCAAUUUGUGAUCUUUUGACUUAGGGCAGCAGCUCUCAACCUAUGGGUUGCAACCCCCCACAGGGCUCACAUAUCAGAUAUCCCGUAUAUCAGACAUUCACAUUACAAUCCACCACAGUAGCAAAACUGUUGUUAUGACGUAGCGAUGGAAUAAUUUUAUGCUGGGGGCGUGGUCACCACAACAUGAGGUAUUAAAGGGUCGCAGCAUCAGGAUGGAUGAGAACCACUGACUGAGAGGGUUCGGAGAAUGCAUGCCCAUGUGCCAGCCUGAGCCAUGCUGCAGGCGCAUUGUCAAUAGGAUUCUCUAUAGGAGCCGAACUGAUAGAAGGGAUCGUAAAGGAGGAUUUAUUGGAGUGGACUACAGGCUGUGUCCAUCUAGUCCAACAAUGACUGCCUCUGGACAGAAAGGCUCAGAAUCGGAUAGCUGUUCAGUGCACAAGGCUGGGUGCCUAGGCUAGUCUUUAGUAUACUUUGGAAUACUGAAGAAGUAGAUUCUAAUACCAGUGAAGGAAUGUCUCAGCAGCAAGAUAGAUGAACUUGCCAUCAAGAGUGAGGGUGAGCAAGUGAAACCAAAGCUUCCUAUCUUCCAUGUUCUUUUUUCUCCUUUUCUUUUCCCUUUCUCUUCUUUUACGCUUUUUAAAAUGCAGGCUGCAAGCAGAAGUUGUGGCCCACCCAGAUCUAGGGUGGAUGUUCUUACCUCAAACAGUUCAAUUAAGAGGAAUCUCUUACAGGUGUGCCCAGUUGCUUGCUUUAUAAUCAAUUGUGGUCAAAUGACAAUCAAGAUUACAAUUGCAGGAGGUGUCUGCACACUUGAGGUUCUCCUAUGGACUCUGAGGUGCUGUUACCCAUGCGAGGGAGAAGAGACAGGGUGGCCCAUUUCACUUAGUAGUUUGAUUAAAACAAUAAAUUCAUGUUGAACCCAGAUGGGCAGGUGAGAGCUCAUGCCAACUCCAACAGCAUCCUGGCAUCAUCUCAAAACAGCUGUGGAGAGAAAUCUCUCUCUCCCCUGUGACAGGAGCCCUAGUUCCCAAUGGCUUAAGGAAUAGAUGUCUCUGAGUUUAAGGAAGAGGCACUGGGAAUGGGACUGGGGGCAAUUGAGAGUGGACUUGAGGAUGGGAAAUUUGACAAGGACAGGAAGUGGGGCAGCAGGAGAGAGGGCCAGUGCCAUGUCUCAGGGACCUGCCCUCUCUGGUCCCUGCCUCUCCAGCUUUCCACAGCCUGCUGAACUGUAAGGAACAGGAAUGGGUCCUGGGCCUUUGAGCCUCUGGGAGAGCUGUGCAGCUGAGCCUGUGUCCUGUAUUGGGCACUGAUGGCAUACAGCUGGCUGUGCCGACAUCCCAGACUCUACAGCAUGCCAAAGAGCAGUAUCCCAUGCCAGUUUUGCCAGUUGUCACUUUCCCUAGCCCCAGAAGACUGGCAGCUCUGGGUUUGAUGCGAAUGCUAAAGGGAAGGGAGGUAUGAGGGAGCCGAGAGGCGAGAGAAACUCCAUGUUUUUCUAAGGCCCGCUGGGGUUUUGUUUAUGCUCACCACGUAUGUCCCCUCCUUAGACUAACUUCUAGACAAGGUCAGCUUCACAGUGCUGUCAUUAGGAGGGAUAAAUAAUCCUAUCACACAUCUUUUAGUCAGUUCUCUCAUUCCUCUUUUAUCAUCUUCCUCCCUACUGCCUUCCUUUCUAGUCAUCCAUUAAUGUCUAUUGACACUCUCUUACAAAAAGCAAGAUGCAAGCUGGUGGGACAAGAAAGGUGACUAAGUUACUCCUGUCUUUGUGCUGUCUCCUCAGUAGAUGACCGUGGGCUGUCUUAUCUUAAGAUGAGGACCCCAGAUCUGACAAAGGUGAGAGCCUAUGGUGGUUUGAAUAUGUUUGGGCCCAAGGAAUGGCACUAUUAUGAGAUAUGGCCUUGUUGGAGUAAAUGUGUCAGUGGGGGGCUUUGAGACCCUCCUUCUAGUUGCCUGGAGGACAGUCUUCUCCUGGUUGCCUUGGGAACAGGAUGUAGGACUCUCAGCUCCUCCAGCACUAUGUCUGCCUGGAUGCUGCCAUGCUUCCUGCCUUGAUGAUAAUGGACUGAACCUCUGAACCUAUAAGCCAGCCCCAAUUAAAUGUCCUUUUUAAGAGUUGCAUUGGUUAUGGUAUCUCUUCAUAGCAAAGGAAACCCUAAGACAGAGCCCAUGUGAGGAUAGUCAUGGAGAACCCCUAGAAUGUAUGGGGCUUCUGAAACUAGACUGUUCACUAAGCCCUAGCUGCCAUGUGUUCUUGGGUAGCUCCUACUCUAUUCCUUACUUAGAACAAGAGCUACCACUGCUGGUUCCAUAUCAAGUGCUUGGCUUGCAGAGCCCUAGCACAUGCAGAACCCCGCUUAGCCUCUGGUAUGGCACAGAUAUUGGAGCAGCUGAUCAAGCCUUAUAGUAUUACACUAAAGGGCAACAGUUCUGCCUGUGGUCUUAUAAUGUGUGCUGCAAGCCACGUCCAUCAAUUUGCCUCCAGCUGUGGUGACCAUAGUAGUGCUUCUAAGCUGGGAGAGAAUGGCACCCUCCUAAGGUAGACAUUGGUCUUUGGAUCAUAAUGAAACAAGAGGUCUUAGAGAUGAGGUAGGCAGGGGGAAACAGCACAGCUUCCUAAUUGUGGUGUUUAGCCCCUCAGUCCCCUCUCCCCUUCCAAUGAAAGGCAGACCAAGUUGGGCUGGCCGGCUGGCCAGGACUAAUGUGAUAGCAUAUGUAAAAACACCUUGUAAAGUACAAAAUGGCAGAUUUGAUCAUGGUUAUGUUCUCCUGCACUUCAGCUGAGACUCCUAGUCAGAGUUAGUGUAUGGCUGGGGUGGCCUCAAGCUGUAGUCCCUUCCACUGGUCCUUAUAAUUCUGGCUUCUUUCUACCCUUUUGCCAUGGCUCCUCCAUGGUGGUGAUUUCUCCAUAGAUAACUCUCUUUAAUAAUGGAUUCUAGUAGUUUGGAAAACUGGGAUUCCCACUAAACCACAUUUCCGGCCAGGAAUCAUAACCCUAACCUUUGUCAGUUAUUUCCCAAUUUCUGGCCAGUUUCAAUAUGCUGCAGACAAUGUCUUCAGUCACGGACUCAGAGGGUGGCUGCAUCUUCAAGCACAGUCACAAUAACAGAGUAUCCUAGUCUCUAUACAGAGACUGCCUGGGUCCACACUCAUGGUUCAGAGAGCAAUGAAGAGGUGCCUGUGGUCAUGGGGAAAAGGGAGUGGAGUGGGAUGUGGGGGGGGGGGGGCUCAGGCUGUGGUCCAGUUCAUGGGAAAUGAUGGAUGGGUUGCAGAAGGCUGGGAGAGAGGCUCAGGCCACUCUCUGCAUCUCAGAGCGUGCAAGGCAGACUCUGCUCCCAGCCUGAGCUGGACACUCCAUUUCUCAGAGACAGCUAGCGUGUUUUAAUAAUGUCUACUUGGGUUAAUGAAAGUUGUCGGUUUCAUUUAAUAAAUACAUCGCCAUUCUUGGCCAUGUGUCACAUCACACUGGGCCUGCUGUACAUCCUUGCCUUACACUGGAGCUAGGGAAGAGGCCAGCAGGGCACACCAGUGAGAAUGUGCCGUGAGAACAACAGACAACAGAAUGCUCUGCCCCAAAAGCAGAGUACAGAGAUUGCUAGUGUUGUCCUUUUUCUCAGGAUCAGACCAGGGACACAGGCAGAAGGGACUAUCACUGGUUCUCUCUAUUCAUUUUUUAGCAUGGGAGAAGGAGGCACUCACUCAAUGUCUCUGGGCAGGACACAGGCAGCUGCCAUGUGACCCAAAGGCAUAUAGAUAUCAGAUCCUAUUUGACUUUGGAUCCAGUUGGCUUCUCACUAUCUCUGUGACUUUGGGUAACUUAUCUCAUCUCUCUGAGCCUUCUUCUUUCUACAUGUAAUUCGGAGGAGAGUGUGUGUUUGCCUCACAGUGCUGUUGGGAGCAUUCUACAAGAGGCAGACCGAGCUCAGAACAGUGCCUAGCAUAUAAACUCUCAAAUCAGAAAGGGGAUCGGGAGUCUUCAUAAGCCACCAUUUAGUGUCGAGUGCACAUACGUGGACUCUGUAGCUGUGCUGCCUGAGUUUAGAGCCAUGUUGGGAGACACUGGGUAAGUAACAUAACUCUUCUGGGCCUUAGUGUCCUAAUCUGUAAAUGCUAGGAAACUGCUAACACUUAUCUUCUUGGGUUGUUGAUUGGAUUAGACAUGUGGGUAUACAGAUGGACUUCAACGAUGUAGUAAUGACCCAGAAGAUGCUAGAGAUUCCUAAUACUAAUAGGAUUAUUUCAUAGGACCAUGGGGGAAAGGAAGUCCAGACAUCCUGGGGUCUGCUGUUCAUGGUUUGCCACCUUAGAGUGGUCACUGGGCCAAAUCCCAGAUGGCUCCACACUUUGACAGCAGCGGGGAUCCUGUACACCACCGCAGGAUGGGAGGCAAGGCAAGGUGACCUCAGAGUGAGGAUGGAGAGAGCCAGUCCAGGUUUCCAACAUUUGUAACUUGGUUCACAGUAGGCUGUGAGGGGAGGAGACUCAGAGCAUGUUUAUCCUUCUGGGGACAUUUCCCUAGAACCCUGUAGGGGCAUUAAAACUUUAACACACACACAACACGCUCGUUUUUCUCCAUGUACAUUCCCCCAACCCUGCUGCCAUUUCUUCGCUAGAAGUGCAGGCUGAUCAAAGACAGGAAGGCAUCUAAGGGUGGGAUGCCAUGGGUGUGGGGGAGGUAACCGGGUGAAGUGAGCCACUUUGGAGCUGGACUGCUGCUACUCAGCCUGGUACUCAUAGUGAUAUGCCCUCUCAUCUGCCUCGUUAAACAUUUAUUUCUUAUUCCCUACCAAGAGGAGAGUCUCUCCAGCAGCCGGGCUUACCUGGAGGCUGUGGAGUGGCCAGAACCUUCCAGGAGGCCAAGGAAUCUUUGGGGUCUAGCCACGAGGACGAAUAGGGCAGUCCACUCCAUGAGCUCAGCUCCAUGAUAGAGCUGAGAUUAGCUGCUGUCUCUUUCACAGAGAAGGAAACUGAAACGUGAGUGGCCAGGCACAGAUUUUGCCUUAAUGCCAAACUGUAGAUGGUUUGAACAGAACCAUCAGGUCUGAUUGGGCUGGGUCUGCUUUCCGUUUUAAGUGUGCCAGCUCUUCGAUGGGAGAGAAAGGACAGACUUGCCUUCCUCUGCCUUCUUCACAGGGUGCAGGCCUCUAGCUGGCCAUAGCAGCCUCCUUCCACUGGGGGGAGCAGGCUCUCCACAGGUGGGUCAUCUCCUGGGAGCAGGCAUUCAGCUCCUGCCUCCAGGUCCAAAGAUGUCCUUCCUAUUGCUGUUCUUAAUUGCUGGCUGUUCUUAAUUAUGUAGGCAUUCAGUGGCUUCUACUGUCCUCAGAGCCCAGACAUGACAUCCACAGCCUUCCUAGCAAGGUCAAAGCAAAGCUCCCAUUCUGCAUCCUUCCAGCCAUGGCCUCUUCUGCCAGCCACUUUACAGGUGGAGAAACUGAGACCUUCAUGACUUGCUGAUGGGCCACCUGCCUCCUGGGAGCUCCCCUUCCUUCUCUUUGGGUUUAGUCGAGCAAGGUGAACCUCAGUCACUGAUUGAGAGCUUAUAGCCCAUAGGUGCAGCGAGGCGCCCUGGUCAUCACAAUGGGGGAGGUGGUUUGGUAAGGGAGAGGGGACUGUCUGGGCACUAUCUCGGCUGCUCAGUCUCAGCAGAGUCCAAGGGCAUGUGGAGCCCCUGUGAACGAUGUCUCUGGCAUCAUUCUCAGCCCUGUAUUUCACCAACCCAGAAGUGUGGGCGUGGUAGCUUGGUUUGUGUACCGAUUGUAGAAAUGUAGCUGGAGUGAGUGUGGGUGGUAGAGAGCCUCUUUCAGGGCAGGUAGGGAGGAAGGCAGGAUUGCAAAAAGGAGAGAUUAGAGAAACCCCCAUCCAAAAAGCCUCCCACCCACCUGGCAGCCCGUGCAAACAUGACUAAAACAUACACACACACACACACACACACACACAAACCAAAGGCUUUGUGAGAUCUAAUUAGUGGACUACAUCUAACUCUCAGACUUCCUGAGCAGGGCUCCUCCUCUAGCCCCAGGCUAUCUCGAGAAUUAAGCUGCCUAAGAUCACCUCAUUAAAUUCACUAACCUUGCUUUUCCGCUACAUUUAGCCUCUGGUGCCCUUCCUCUGUCCCUAGGAGGUGCCUGUCUGGCAUUCCACCAGCAUCUUCCCAGACUGUCCUGAGCAUGGACAACGGAGCAGAGCUACGCCUGCCUUAAGACGUGCAUGAGGCAUUCUUCCUCAACCUACCUGAGAUGUCAAGACAAACGACUUUGUGAAAGGCAAGUGCAGGGUCACUG